rnacentral:rRNA from 1 species
GCCCCAGACUCCUACGGGAGGCAGCAGUGGGGGAUAUUGCACAAUGGGGGGAACCCUGAUGCAGCGACGCCGCGUGGGUGAAGAAGUCUUUCGGUAUGUAAAGCCCUAUCGGCAGGGAAGAAAUUGGACGGUACCUGACUAAGAAGCCCCGGCUAACUACGUGCCAGCAGCCGCGGUAAUACGUAGGGGGCAAGCGUUAUCCGGAUUCACUGGGUGUAAAGGGAGCGUAGACGGCCAUGCAAGCCUGGAGUGAAAGCCCGGGGCCCAACCCCGGGACUGCUCUGGGAACUGUGCGGCUGGAGUGCGGGAGGGGCAGGCGGAAUUCCUGGUGUAGCGGUGAAAUGCGUAGAUAUCAGGAGGAACACCAGUGGCGAAGGCGGCUUACUGGACAGUAACUGACGUUGAGGCUCGAAAGCGUGGGGAGCAAACAGGAUUAGAUACCCUUGUA